CUAUAGCAGCCUUUUAAGUUUCUCCUUUGUUUUCAGAAACUCACACUCUUUUUUCUACCAAAUAUGAAGACAGCAAGCGACACAAAACUGCUACUCAACCGCAUGUGCACACUGGACAUGCUAAUUGGUACAGCGAGUUUGUAUCUCUGUGAGAGAAUGAAGAAGCAAAGAUUCUAGUAGCCACAUACAUUAUGGACCUGUUCCAAAGCUCACUGAAGUCAAUGAGAAUCUUUCAGCUUACUUGUAUACAGAGGUAUGCAUGAUCUUAUCAUGAGGCAACAGAAACCAAAUACAUAGAGUCCGGUCUGCACAGUACUUGGAUGGGAGUCUCUAAAGAAAACCCAGUUGUAAGUGGCACUCUUCUAUUUGGAUCAGCAAUGAAAUAAUAUCCUAGCAUGGUUAAAAGAAGGUACUGAGCUGCUGUUUCAGGUUCCAAAAUAAUUAGUCUCACGGCUAUGGAUGUGAUUUCCGUUUAAAGGAAUGUAGAAGCAGCACCUCAAUCACUGCUGGUGAGUAUCCUUAUUCAUGUUAUGUGCCUUCUGUGGUUAGUAUUUAUAGAAUACCAUAUUCUAAUUCUACUUAACAAUUAGACUAACACCAGAGAGAGUUACGUUUGCCUUCCAGCACAAUUUUCAGCACAGUGAGCAAGGAGUUACACAUACAGAGCUCCCAUAGCAACAUGUUAUUGUUAACUGAAGUUGGGUGCAUAGCUCCAUGUACUAAAAAUUCACUAAGGACCAACUUAGCUGUCAAAUUGGACACUGGUGAAGUAUCUGAGGGCAGAAUACUCCUGUAACCACAUAAGGGUAUUCUAUGGUAAUGGAAUAACCCCUAACACUGCAAUAUUACUAUUAUAAGUUGUAGUGUUUUGGACCACUACUAAACAAAACUACAUUACUAAACAAUAAUGUGCUCCUUUUUUUUGUAAGGAGUGAACCUAAAGUCUUCAUUAUUACAGAACAUUUGAGUAUCACUUCUC